rnacentral:misc_RNA from 1 species
AAAGUCGUAACAAGGUUUCCGUAGGUGAACCUGCGGAAGGAUCAUUAUUGAAUUGAAAGAAGCGCGAUUGUUGUGGUAUAUUGUUGAGAUGGUGUGCGUGUGUGUUUGGUGUUGGGGUGGUGGGUUAGGUGUUUUGCACCGUGCUCUCUAUUUUGACGCCGCUGCAUGCACACUCGUUUUGAACCAACCGUAAAUACUGGAAGCUAUGCAAAAAACAUUAAUGACACAACUGGCAACGGCGGAUCUCUGGGCUCGU